rnacentral:rRNA from 1 species
AGUGAACGCUGGCGGUAGGCCUAACACAUGCAAGUCGAACGGCAGCACAGUAAGAGCUUGCUCUUACGGGUGGCGAGUGGCGGACGGGUGAGGAAUACAUCGGAAUCUACUUUUUCGUGGGGGAUAACGUAGGGAAACUUACGCUAAUACCGCAUACGACCUACGGGUGAAAGCAGGGGAUCUUCGGACCUUGCGCGAUUGAAUGAGCCGAUGUCGGAUUAGCUAGUUGGCGGGGUAAAGGCCCACCAAGUCGACGAUCCGUAGCUGGUCUGAGAGGAUGAUCAGCCACACUGGAACUGAGACACGGUCCAGACUCCUACGGGAGGCAGCAGUGGGGAAUAUUGGACAAUGGGCGCAAGCCUGGUCCAGCCAUACCGCGUGGGUGAAGAAGGCCUUCGGGUUGUAAAGCCCUUUUGUUGGGAAAGAAAAGCAGCAGGUUAAUACCCCGCUGUUCUGACGGUACCCAAAGAAUAAGCACCGGCUAACUUCGUG